GACGAACGCUGGCGGCGUGCUUAACACAUGCAAGUCGAACGGUGAGGCGCCUUCCUUUUUGGUGGGUGUGGAUGAGUGGCGAAGGGGUUAGUAACAGGAUAGUAACCUUCUACCUCUUUCUGGAUAACCGCAUGCAAGUGCGGCUAACACGGGAUAUUCUGGGUCUGUCGCAUCAUUGGUGUGGGAAGGAUUUUGUUUCGGUGGGGGAUGGGCUCGCGCCGUAUCAGCUUGUUGGUGUGGUGACGGCCUACCAAGGCGGUGAGGGGUAGCCGGCCUGAGAGGGUGGACGGCCACAGUGGGGAUGAGACACCGCGCAGACUCCUGGGGGAGGCAGCAGGGGAGAAUAUUGCAUAGUGGGCGGCAGGCUGAUGCAGCGCCGCCGGGUGGGGGAUGGUGGCCUGAGGGUUGUGAACCGCUUUCGCGAGUGAAGAAGGGCUGCCGUGUUUGUGCGUGGGUUGACGGUAGCUGGAUAAGAAGCGCCGGCUAACUACGUG
rnacentral:rRNA from 1 species